UGUUCCCAAUAGCUAUCAUAGAUUAAGUUCGACCAUAUUGGUAGUGCAAUAAUGUUUAUUGAAGUUGGAAAUCAUUGUACAUAUUAUGUGUAAAGUAACAGUUGGGAUCUCACAACUUUAUCUGAUAUCAUGUUCAAAAUGGUUUGAUUGAAUCUCUUGUUUCUGAUGGAAUGGAGACUGUAUUAAUAAAUCUUGUAGUUAUGAGUAACAUUGUCCGAUUAUAUUCUAAAUAUUUCGCGGAUCAUGCAAUAUUAAGUUAAGAACUUGGGCAAAUUUGCUUGGCAUAAUUCGUGAAAUAUGUUGGAUAUACAUCAGACGAGUGUUGCUCGUAAGCUAUGAGAUUUCUCAAGAAGGUCUUCCUUGCAUCAGUUGGUAGCAAGAUAUUUCCAUCAAUCCAUUGUCGAACUUGAUAUUGAAUAAACUUGUAUGACCUCAACAGUUUCCUUUCUGACUGCCCUUUCAUUUGGUUUGUGAUCUUAGUAGCUCAGUUGUUUCACUACCUAAAUUUUCACGUUUGAUUUCCCACCUUGUAAUUCCCUUCCCCUAUGUAAUUAAAUUAUAUAUAUAUAUAUAUAUAUAUAUAUAUAUAUAUAUAUAUAUAUAUAUUUUGUUUUGGUUUGUGAUCGGUUUCUCUACUACAGCUCUGUGCUGUUGCCACUUGCCGGUGAGCUUUCCUCCGUAUUUUAUAUUCCUUCUUUUUGUUGUGGUCUUUAAUGAUGUGAGAUUUGCUUUAUUUUGGUUUUUCCCAUCCUCUGAUGAUUGGUGUUAUAUGGAGUUUUGUGUUAGGGUGAAAUGCUAUAUUGCUCUGUUGCUUCCUGUUGGGUGUCAGUUUUCUAUUUUGCUUUUUCUCUGCGUGUUUAGAGCAUGUUUGGAUUGGCUUAUUAUAAGUGCUUUUAAGCCAAAAAAAAAUUGCUUUCAAGCACUUUUGUAGUGUUCGGGUAAGAUAAAAAAGUAUUUUUAAGCUCAAAUAAGCCAAAAGCCAUAAGUUAUAAGCCCAUCCAAACAGGCUCUUAGUUUCUUGUAUGUCUAAUUGCGCAUCUUGUCUAUAUCAUUCUCGUUCUUUGGUCAUUUGUUUGGUUUUUCUAGCAAAAUUGCAACAGAUAGUAGAAAAGCAUAAGAAGCAUUCCAAAGGUAUACUUUCUUAGUUGAUUUUGCAAAAUACUCUGCUUCAUGGAUUUAUUGGAGAGGAGAAUAUUGAUAAAGCUUUAGACUUAUUUAAUUGAAUGGGAGAUCAAGGACUGUACUCGGUGUGAUAACGUACUAUACCUAACUGAAUGGUUUAUGUGUGUUUGAUAAAAUGCUGGAAGCUAAUAUACUUUACAGUGAAAAGGUUGAAAGGGGGUAUUCACCCUAACAGAUCCACAUAUACAUCAUUGAUUAAUGGACGCGUCUCUCUGGAUAACUUAAAGGAGGCUUUUUGCGUCCCUGAUGAAUGAUGUUAAGCUUUAGUCUCUUUGCUAUUCGAGCCAAUAAAAUUUAGGUAUUCAUCAACUUCUUGAAUUUCAGGAGUUUUGAUUUCCUUUUCGCAGUAUCCAUUCUUGAUGUACAAUAAAGAGAGACCUGAGACAAGGGUGACCCUCUGUCCCCUUUUUUGUUUAUCAUUGCAAUGGAAGGUCUUAAUGAUAUGCUGAAGACUGCUCAAACAAACAGCUGGAUAAAGGGCUUCAACGUUUCUACCAGGUCUGGUGAUAACUUGGAAAUAUAUCAUCUACAUUACGCAGACGACACUCUGAUAUUCUGUGAUGCGGAUAUUGAACAAUUGAAAAUUCUGAGGGUAAUAUUCAUUUUGUUCGAGGCUAUUUCUGGGUUACACAUCAAUUGGAAUAAGAGUUUCUUAUAUCCUGUUAAUGAGGUAACGAAUAUAAAUAUGUUGUCUGGAAUACUUGGAGGAAAAGUUGGUGAGCUUCCCACAAUAUACAUGGGCAUGCCACUGGGAGCAAAAAGCAAGUCCAAGGAACUAUGGAAUACUGUCUUGGAAAAAUGUGAAAAGAAGCUGGUGAAUUGGAAGAGUCAAUACCUCUCUUUGGGAGGUAGAUUGACUUUAAUAAAUAGCGUGUUAGAUGCUUUGCUAUAGGAUGUCUAUUUUUCCAGUUCCCAUAAGUGUAGUGAAAAGAAUGGACGCUUGUGUUGCUUGGACUCUUCACUUUCGGUGCAGCACCCAUGUCGACACGACAUGGGUGUGGCUGUUUGAUCCGUACUCAAUUUGGUCAACCAAUUUUGAGUACUUUGAUCAAAAUCGAAGGAGAAAUUUUGGAUAGAUUCAAUGAUUUAUGUUAAUCAAAACAAAAGCUAUGGUGAAAUUGAAGAAAACCGAAUAACUUGUAUAUAGAAAUUUCUAUGUCACUUCUUUUCCUUUUAUCCUCA